AUUGAACGCUGGCGGCAGGCCUAACACAUGCAAGUCGAGCGGAUGAAGGGAGCUUGCUCCUGGAUUCAGCGGCGGACGGGUGAGUAAUGCCUAGGAAUCUGCCUGGUAGUGGGGGAUAACGUCCGGAAACGGGCGCUAAUACCGCAUACGUCCUGAGGGAGAAAGUGGGGGAUCUUCGGACCUCACGCUAUCAGAUGAGCCUAGGUCGGAUUAGCUAGUUGGUGGGGUAAAGGCCUACCAAGGCGACGAUCCGUAACUGGUCUGAGAGGAUGAUCAGUCACACUGGAACUGAGACACGGUCCACACUCCUACGGGAGGCAGCAGUGGGGAAUAUUGGACAAUGGGCGAAAGCCUGAUCCAGCCGUGCCGCGUGUGUGAAGAAGGUCUUCGGAUUGUAAAGCACUUUAAGUUGGGAGGAAGGGCAGUAAGUUAAUACCUUGCUGUUUUGACGUUACCAACAGAAUAAGCACCGGCUAACUUCGUG
rnacentral:rRNA from 1 species